GGAAGGUACCAUCACCACAUAUGGUAGAGAAGAGAAUAUGUGUUAUGAAAUAUAUUUGCUACUUUAGAUAGUAGAGAGUUACAAAAAAUGAAUAUUAAAUAAAACUAGGGGUCUUUGGUUUAUUAUAAAAAGAUACGUGUAACAGAUAUGAAAUAUUUUGGAGACUAAAAUUUUAACAUUUCAGAUUUUUCUUGAGUAAACCUAAGAAAAACUUAGAGCAGCCCUUAUUAUUUCAGAUAUGUACUAAAGCUAUGGAAAGACCAAUAGCAUACAACGUAUACCUAGUAUGGAUAGAAUAAAGAGGUAAUACUAAUCAGUUAGGGAAAAACUGUUGGCAUUUUGCAUGGAUUAUCAGGCAAGAUGGUGUUCUGAGACCUAAUCAGUAAAUAUGGCCUUGUACCAGUAUCUUACGUAUAAAAAAAGACAGCUGGCUUUUAAAAAAUUUCUUUUUAUUGAAGUAAAUGGGACUCAGACUGUCACCCUCUUUUGUCUGUUGGGGAUCAGGUCCUGCCCACUUUGGGGCACUAGCUCUACAUCUGUCACUCCAUUCACCAGCGAGUCUCAAAGUCAGGACAUUACAGAUGUCCUGUUCUUUUCACUCUAUUCUGGGAAGGAAGAGAUGGGACGACUUGCCGGCUGGUCAAGGCUUCAUCACAUAUUCGCUCUCAGGGAAGGCGCGGAGAACUAGAGGACGCCACACUUUUCAGACAAAGUCUGGUCGCCCACGGAGCAGAAGAUCCCCCAGUGGUGGAAACACACGAGUCGCCAGCGCGACUCUCGUGGUCGGCGCAGCGGUUCCGCCGGCACCUCGGCGCGGCAGCUCUCGGAGCAGAGUAAACGGGACCAGGUCGCCUUCUGACCGAGGUUUGGAGCCCCAGGAAGGCAGAGUCGCCUACUAUGGAAACAAGAAGGAAGCCCGACAGGAGAAUCCUGGGCAGAAAAGCACCAUCAGUUUUAACGCCGCUGCUCUGGCCCUGGGAACUAACAACCUGGAUGUCCACUCAAGAGACCUAAUCUGAAAGUUGGUAAUUUCAAAGACGACAGGAGGAUAAAUUUACAAUGACGGGAAGAAACCAGCGUAAAAAAGCUGAGAAUACUCAAAGUCAGAACGACUCUCCCGCUAAAGAUGAUCACAGUUCCACAUCAACAAUGGAACGAGGCUUGAUGGAGAACGAGCGCAUCCCAAUGACAGAAUCACUCUUCAAGGAAUGGAUAAUAAGAAACUUCGGUGAGUUAAAAGAACAUGUUGUAGCCCAACGUAAAGAAACUAGGAGCUUUGAAAAAAGGUUUGAUGAAAUCCUAUUGAGAAUAGACAACUUAGAGAGGAGUAUGAGUGAAUUAAUGGAACUGAAGAAUACAAUACAGGAACUCUGAGAAGUAUGCACAGGUUUAAACACUUGAAUUGUUCAAGCAGAAGAAGGGAUAUCAGAGGUCGAAGUCCAACUUAAUGAAAUAAAACAAGACAAGAUUAGAGAAAAAAGGAUAAAAAGGAAUGAGCAAAGUCUCCAAGAAAUGUGGGACUAUGUGAAAAGACCAAAUUUACGUUUGAUAGGUGUACCUGAAUGCGACAGAGAGAAUGAAUCCAAGCUGGAAAAUACCCUUCAGGAUAUUAUUCAGGAAAAUUUUCCUAAACUAGCAAAGCAGGUCAACAUUCAACCCCAGGUAAUACAGAGAACACCACAAAGAUAUUCCUCAAGAAGAGCAACCCCAAGGCACAUAAUCGUUAGAUUCACCAGGGUUGAAACGAAGGAGAGGAUACUACGGGCAGCCAGAGAGAAAGGUCAGAUAACCCACAAAGGCAAGCCUAUCAGACUUACAGCAGAUCUCUCAGCAGAAACUCUACAGGCCAGAAGAGAGUGGGGGCCAAUAUUCAACAUCCUUAAAGAACAGAACCUUCAGCCUAGAAUUUCAUAUCCAGUCAAACUAAGCUUCACAACUGAAGGAAAAAUAAAAUCUUUUAUGAACAAGCAAGAGCUCAGAGAUUUUAUUACCACCAGGCCUGCUUUACAAGAGCUUCUGAAAGAAGCAUUACACACAGAAAGAAACAAUCAGUAUUAGCCUUUCUAAAAAUACACCAACAAGUAAAGAGCACCAACAUAAAGAAGAAUUUACACCAACAAAUGGAUAAAACAGCCAGUCAACAUCAAAUGGCAGUAACCCUAAAUUUAAAUUGACUAAAUUCCCAAUCAAAAGACACAGCCAAAACCCAACGGCAUGUUACAUCCAGACCUGUUUCACAUGCAAGGAUACACAAAGACUCAAAACAAAGGGAUGGAAAAAGAUUUACCAACCAAAUGGAGAGCAAAAAUAAAUAAUAAAUAAAUAAAAAGCAGGAGUAGCAAUUCUUGUAUCGGAUAAAAUAGAUUUUAAAGCAACAAAUGUAUAGUGGUAAAAGGAUCAACGCAACAACAAGAGCUAAUGAUCCUAACACCCAGAUAGGAGACUUAGAUUCAAUGAGACAGAAAAUUAAUAAGGAUAUCAAGGACUCGAACUCAGAUCCAGAACAAGUAAACUUAAUAAAUAUUUAUAGAGCUCUCCACUUCAAAUACACAAAAUAUACAUUUGUGUCAAUACCACAUCACACCUACCCAUAAGUUUAAAUGAAACAUUGAUUGGCCAUUAUUAAUACCCAAUUUUUUUCAAAAUAAAGCAAUAUUUCCAUUUACUCUCCCUCUUUCUCUCCUCUGUCUUCGUCUCCUUUACUUAUUAUUAUUUUUUUCUUUCCUUCUCUCAAAAAAAAAGAAAUCAACUUGUAAACCUCUAGAUCCAGGUUGGCAAUGUCUCUUUCAUUGCUUGAUUUCCUUUCUUCCCUUCCCUCCCUCCCUCCCUCCCUCCCCGCUUCCUCCCUUCCUUCCUUCCUUCAUCCCUUCCUUCCUCCCUACCGUCCUUCUUCCCUUCCUUCCUGCCUUCCUCCCCCCGCAAAAAAAAAAAAAAAAAAAAAAAAGAAUACCAGGCCAUGAGGAAUUUGCCUCCAUGACCCAAAUACCUCCCAACAGGCCACACUUUCAACAUUGGGAAUUACAUUUCAACACAAGAUUUGGGUGGGAACAAACAUCCAAACUAUGUCGCUAUCCAUAUGGAGGCCACCACCUGCAAAGAGCUUGUCUUUCUCUGAACUCUAGUUCAUCAAGGCUCCCUUGAACCCCUA
ensembl:lncRNA